CUGCGGAGGAUCAUUACUGAGUGAGGGCCCUCUGGGUCCAACCUCCCACCCGUGUUUAUUGUACCUUGUUGCUUCGGUGCGCCCGCCUCACGGCCGCCGGGGGGCUUCUGCCCCCGGGUCCGCGCGCACCGGAGACACUAUUGAACUCUGUCUGAAGAUUGCAGUCUGAGCAUAAACUAAAUAAGUUAAAACUUUCAACAACGGAUCUCUUGGUUCCGGCAUCGAUGAAGAACGCAGCGAAAUGCGAUAACUAAUGUGAAUUGCAGAAUUCAGUGAAUCAUCGAGUCUUUGAACGCACAUUGCGCCCCCUGGUAUUCCGGGGGGCAUGCCUGUCCGAGCGUCAUUGCUGCCCUCAAGCACGGCUUGUGUGUUGGGCUCCGUCCCCCCGGGGACGGGUCCGAAAGGCAGCGGCGGCACCGAGUCCGGUCCUCGAGCGUAUGGGGCUUUGUCACCCGCUCUGUAGGCCCGGCCGGCGCCAGCCGACAACCAAUCAUCCUUUUUUCAGGUUGACCUCGGAUCAGGUAGGGAUACCCGCUGAACUUAAGCAUAUCAAUAAGCGGAGGAAAAGAAACCAACAGGGAUUACCUCAGUAACGGCGAGUGAAGCGGUAAGAGCUCAAAUUUGAAAGCUGGCUCCUUCGGGGUCCGCAUUGUAAUUUGCAGAGGAUGUUUCGGGGAGCAGCCCCCAUCUAAGUGUCCUGGAACGGACCGGUCAUAGAGGGUGAGAAUCCCGUA
rnacentral:rRNA from 1 species